CUCAUGGUUUCACGGUAUUGCAAUGAGAACAAUUUAAAACCCUUAGCGAGAAUCAAGUGGAGGACAAGUCUGGUGCCAGCACCCGCGGUAAUUCCAGCUCCACUAACGUAUAUUAAAGUUGUUGCAGUUAAAAAGCUCGUAGUUGAACCUCUGUCUGGGGCUAGUUUUGGCUUUGGUCAGGCUAGUUCUAGGCAUCCGCCUACAAGACUUAGAGGGCAUUCAGUUGUUCACUAGGAGGAGUAGGCAUUUUACUUUGAAAAAAUUAGAGUGUUUAAGGCAGGCAAUCGCCCGCAUAUAUUAGCAUGGAAUAAUAGAAUAGGACACUUUUCCAUUUCGUUGGUUAUUGGAAUCGUGUAAUGAUUAAUAGGGACAGUUGUGGGCAUUUGUAUUUAAUUGUCAGAGGUGAAAUUCUUGGAUUUAUUAAAGACAAACUAACGCGAAAGCAUUUGCCAAGGAUGUUUUCAUUAAUCAAGAACGAAAGUUAGGGGAUCAAAGACGAUCAGAUACCGUCCUAGUCUUAACUAUAAACUAUUCCGACUCAAUGUUUGACUGGCUUAUAUAACCAGUUGAGCGUUGUAUGAGAAAUCAAAGUCUUUAGGUUCUGGGGGGAGUAUGGUUGCAAAGCUGAAACUUAAAGGAAUUGACGGAAGAGCACAACCAGGAGUGGAUUCUGCGGCUUAAUUUGACUCAACACGGGGAAACUUACCAGGUUAAAACAAUAGUGGGAUUGACAGUUUGAGAGCGCUUUCUUGAUUGGUUGGGUGGUGGUGCAUGGCCGUUCUUAGUUGGUGGAGUGAUUUGUCUGCUUAAUUGCGUUAACGAACGAGACCUUAACCUGCUUACUAGACUGGCGAUCACCAAUCGUUAGCUCUUCUUAGAGGGACUUUGGUUGUUUUAACUCCAAGGAAGUUUGAGGCAAUAACAGGUCUGUGAUGCCCUUAGAUAUCCUGGGCCGCACGCGUCAUACAAUGACUAGUUCAGAAAGUUUUCUCCUGACCCGAAAGGGGAUGGGUAAUCUCGAUAAUACUAGUCGUGUUAGGGAUCGAUCUUUGCAAUUAUAGAUCUUGAACGAGGAAUUCCUAGUAAGUGCGGUUCAUCAGACCGUACUGAUUACGUCCCUGCUCUUUGUACACACCGCCCGUCGCUUCUACCGAGUGGGUGGUCCGGUGAGAUAAUUGAACUUCGCAGGUAACUGAGAGGAAAGAUUAUCAAACCUAUCCACCU
rnacentral:rRNA from 1 species